rnacentral:rRNA from 1 species
UGGGGAAUAUUGGACAAUGGGCGCAAGCCUGAUCCAGCAAUGGCGCGUGAGUGAUGAAGGCCUUCGGGUUGUAAAGCUCUUUCGCACGCGACGAUGAUGACGGUAGCGUGAGAAGAAGCCCCGGCUAACUUCGUGCCAGCAGCCGCGGUAAUACGAAGGGGGCUAGCGUUGUUCGGAAUUACUGGGCGUAAAGGGCGCGUAGGCGGUGUGUCAAGUCAGGCGUGAAAGCCCCGGGCUCAACCUGGGAACCGCGCUUGAGACUGGCACGCUAGAGUUCGGGAGAGGAUGGUGGAAUUCCCAGUGUAGAGGUGAAAUUCGUAGAUAUUGGGAAGAACACCGAUGGCGAAGGCAGCCAUCUGGACCGACACUGACGCUGAGGCGCGAAAGCGUGGGGAGCAAACAGG